GGGAGCCGUAUGGCGUCGGGGAUAUAUUAGGUAUCGCUCGAGAGUUCGAGCUGAAUCUUAUGUGCCUGAGGGAUAGGUAUCUUUGGCUUAUGUGAUGCCCACUCAUAUGCAACUGGGUGCUUAAGCUUCACAUGCCACAUCGUGUGUAUCGCCAGUUUGGUUUGUUCCAGUCUCACCAGCCAGUGUGGGAGGACAUGAACAGAAUGCUACAUGGGUUGGAUAGGAGAAGGCAACACAAGAUUAAGGACUGGGACAAACAUCACAGGAAGUAUGUCACAUAGUUCGCGCUUAGUGUGGAGCAAGCUAACGCUGGCAAAGGAUCCAAGCUUCGUGAGCACUUCCCACUCGCGUUCAACAACUACCUCACAUGGUUUCUUGCAAGUACCCGCGUGGAGAUAUGCAAGCCGGCGUAUAAUGAUGAGAUUUUGGAAGAUACCAACGUCUUUGAUGAUCUAACCCAGCAGCAGUAGAACGAACUUGUCAGGGAAGGCAACCGAGUCCCUUCAGCUCCAGUGAUGAACUUCAUGCGUACCUAGAUCAAGAAAGCAGCUAAUGAGAGCCAUACUAUUCUGGAGACAACCCCGGUUGGAAAAAGCAAUAGGGAAGGUGCACUUCGAGCAUUCAUUAAGCGUCGGGGCCAAAGUUUAAGGAGGUUAUUGAACCUUAUGAGUUGUCGUGACCCUGAAUAUGUAUCACCUGAGCGGUCUAGGUCGGCUACACCAUCAGAUCCCACUUCUGACCAUGGGGCUCCUUUGGAGGACGUGGGUGC